rnacentral:lncRNA from 1 species
AUGUUUCCUGAACACAAAAUGGCGACACGUGGUUAGCAUUCGUCGCCAACGAGAAAUUGGGGUCGGCCCGAAAGCUCUAGAAUGCACCCCUCUUCCUCCCCGGGGCCUUCCACCUCCGCGAGUUUUAUGACUUAAAAAAGCCCACAGGCUGGUCUGAAGACUUCCUAGCAUGGGCUGUUGUGCUGGAGAGAACGAGAGCUACGAAGAGACUACAGUGCCUCUGACUUUUUCAUAGGACAGUUGGCCGAGGAAGACAAACAUAAAGAUGAAGUGCUUAAUUCAAGGUCACACAAUGUCGGGGAUGGACCUCCAGAUUUCCUUACUGACCUGCAUUAUCUUGUGGAUACCUGAGUGAAUUCCACACCACCCAUUUUAUAGAUGAAACCACUGAGACAUGGAGCAAUUGACUGAGUAGUCACUGCCCCACCCCUGCCUGGAGCCUCACACAUGACUCGCCUCCUCUCAGUGACCACAG